UACGAAGGGGGCUAGCGUUGCUCGGAAUCACUGGGCGUAAAGGGUGCGUAGGCGGGUCUUUAAGUCAGGGGUGAAAUCCUGGGGCUCAACUCCAGAACUGCCUUUGAUACUGAAGAUCUUGAGUUCGGGAGAGGUGAGUGGAACUGCGAGUGUAGAGGUGAAAUUCGUAGAUAUUGCAAGAACACCAGUGGCGAAGGCGGCUCACUGGCCCGAUACUGACGCUGAGGCACGAAAGCGU
rnacentral:rRNA from 1 species